rnacentral:rRNA from 1 species
CGCCCUUAGAGUUUGAUCAUGGCUCAGAUUGAACGCUGGCGGCAGGCUUAACACAUGCAAGUCGAGCGGUAGGAGAGCUUGCUCUCUACGAGCGGCGGACGGGUGAGUAAUGUCUGGGAAACUGCCUGAUGGAGGGGGAUAACUACUGGAAACGGUAGCUAAUACCGCAUAAUGUCGCAAGACCAAAGAGGUUCGUCUUGCCAUCAGAUGUGCCCAGAUGGGAUUAGCUAGUAGGUGGGGUAAUGGCUCACCUAGGCGACGAUCCCUAGCUGGUCUGAGAGGAUGACCAGCCACACUGGAACUGAGACACGGUCCAGACUCCUACGGGAGGCAGCAGUGGGGAAUAUUGCACAAUGGGCGCAAGCCUGAUGCAGCCAUGCCGCGUGUAUGAAGAAGGCCUUAGGGUUGUAAAGUACUUUCAGCGAGGAGGAAGGCGUUGUAUAAUUGCAACGAUUGACGUUACUCGCAGAAGAAGCACCGGCUAACUCCGUGCCAGCAGCCGCGGUAAUACGGAGGGUGCAAGCGUUAAUCGGAAUUACGGGCGUAAGCGCACGCAGGCGGUUUGUUAA